rnacentral:rRNA from 1 species
AGUGAACGCUGGCGGUAGGCCUAACACAUGCAAGUCGAACGGCAGCACAGUAAGAGCUUGCUCUUACGGGUGGCGAGUGGCGGACGGGUGAGGAAUACAUCGGAAUCUACUUUUUCGUGGGGGAUAACUUAGGGAAACUUACGCUAAUACCGCAUCCGACCUACGGGUGAAAGCAGGGGAUCUUCGGACCUUGCGCGAUUGAAUGAGCCGAUGUCGGAUUAGCUAGUUGGCGGGGUAAAGGCCCACCAAGGCGACGAUCCGUAGCUGGUCUGAGAGGAUGAUCAGCCACACUGGAACUGAGACACGGUCCAGACUCCUACGGGAGGCAGCAGGGGGGAAUAUUGGACAAUGGGCGCAAGCCUGAUCCAGCCAUACCGCGUGGGUGAAGAAGGCCUUCGGGUUGUAAAGCCCUUUUGUUGGGAAAGAAAAGCAGCAGGUUAAUACCCCGCUGUUCUGACGGUACCCAAAGAAUAAGCACCGGCUAACUUCGUG